rnacentral:tRNA from 1 species
AUCCAAAUAGCUUAUUUUGAGAGUAUGGCACUGAAGAUGCUAUGGAGAUAAAUUUUAUCUUUGGGUA